rnacentral:rRNA from 1 species
AACAGGAUUAGAUACCCUGGUAGUCCACGCCGUAAACGAUGCUAACUCGUUUUUGGAUUUUCGGAUUCAGAGACCAAGCGAAAGUGAUAAGUUAGCCACCUGGGGAGUACGUUCGCAAGAAUGAAACUCAAAGGAAUUGACGGGGGCCCGCACAAGCGGUGGAUUAUGUGGUUUAAUUCGAUGAUACGCGAGGAACCUUACCAAGACUUAAAUGGGAAAUGACAGGUCUAGAAAUAGACCCUUCUUCGGACAUUUUUCAAGGUGCUGCAUGGUUGUCGUCAGCUCGUGCCGUGAGGUGUUAGGUUAAGUCCUGCAACGAGCGCAACCCCUGUCACUAGUUGCUAACAUUCAGUUGAGGACUCUAGUGAGACUGCCUACGCAAGUAGAGAGGAAGGUGGGGGUGACGUCAAAUCAUCACGGCCCUUACGUCUUGGGCCACACACGUAAUACAAUGGCCGGUACAGAGGGCAGCUACACAGCGAUGUGAUGCAAAUCUCGAAGGCCGGUCUCAGUUCGGAUUGGAGUCUGCAACUCGACUCUAUGAUGCUGGAAUCGCUAGUAAUCGCGCAUCAGCCAUGGCGCGGUGAAUACGUUCCCGGGCCUUGUACACACCGCCCGUCAAGCCAUGGAAGUUUGGGGUACCUGAAGUCGGUGACCGUAAAAGGAGCUGCCUAGGGUAAAACAAGUAACUAGGGCUAAGUCGUAACAAGGUAACC